rnacentral:rRNA from 1 species
GAUCAUGGCUCAGGAUGAACGCUAGCUACAGGCUUAACACAUGCAAGUCGAGGGGAAACGACAUUGGAAGCUUGCUUCCGAUGGGCGUCGACCGGCGCACGGGUGAGUAACGCGUAUCCAACCUGCCCACCACUUGGGGAUAACCUUGCGAAAGUAAGACUAAUACCCAAUAAUAUCUCUAGAAGACAUCUGAAAGGGAUUAAAGAUUUAUCGGUGAUGGAUGGGGAUGCGUCUGAUUAGCUUGUUGGCGGGGUAACGGCCCACCAAGGCAACGAUCAGUAGGGGUUCUGAGAGGAAGGUCCCCCACAUUGGAACUGAGACACGGUCCAAACUCCUACGGGAGGCAGCAGUGAGGAAUAUUGGUCAAUGGGCGAGAGCCUGAACCAGCCAAGUAGCGUGCAGGAUGACGGCCCUAUGGGUUGUAAACUGCUUUUAUAAGGGAAUAAAGUGAGUCUCGUGAGACUUUUUGCAUGUACCUUAUGAAUAAGGACCGGCUAAUUCCGUG